AUCCAGCUGACAAGUUCCAUAAUAGGAUGAAACGCAUGUCAAACUGGAU
rnacentral:hammerhead_ribozyme from 1 species